UACGGAGGGGGUUAGCGUUGGUUCGGAAUUACUGGGCGUAAAGCGCGCGUAGGCGGAUUAGAAAGUUGGGGGUGAAAUCCCGGGGCUCAACCUCGGAACUGCCUCCAAAACUGCUAGUCUAGAGUUCGAGAGAGGUGAGUGGAAUUCCGAGUGUAGAGGUGAAAUUCGUAGAUAUUCGGAGGAACACCAGUGGCGAAGGCGGCUCACUGGCUCGAUACUGACGCUGAGGUGCGAAAGUGUGGGGAGCAAACAGC
rnacentral:rRNA from 1 species